UAACACGUGGGGAACCUGCCCCAUAGUCUGGGAUACCACUUGGAAACAGGUGCUAAUACCGGAUAAGAAAGCGGAUCGCAUGAUCAGCUUUUAAAAGGCGGCGUAAGCUGUCGCUAUGGGAUGGCCCCGCGGUGCAUUAGCUAGUUGGUAAGGUAAAGGCUUACCAAGGCGAUGAUGCAUAGCCGAGUUGAGAGACUGAUCGGCCACAUUGGGACUGAGACACGGCCCAAACUCCUACGGGAGGCAGCAGGU
rnacentral:rRNA from 1 species